GACGAACGCUGGCGGCGUGCUUAACACAUGCAAGUCGAACGGAGCGCUUCGGAUGAUUUCUUCGGAAAGAGACUGAAGUUAGCUUAGUGGCGGACGGGUGAGUAACGCGUGAGUAACCUGCCCAUCAGAGGGGGAUAACAACUGGAAACGGUUGCUAAUACCGCAUAAGACCCCAGUAUCGCAUGGUACAGAGGUAAAAGGAGCAAUCCACUGAUGGAGGGACUCGCGUCCCAUUAGAUAGUUGGUAUGGGUAAUGGCCUACCAAGUCAACGAUGGGUAGCCGGACUGAGAGGUUGAACGGCCACACUGGGACUGAGAUACGGCCCAGACUCCUACGGGAGGCAGCAGUGGGGAAUAUUGGGCAAUGGGCGAAAGCCUGACCCAGCAACGCCGCGUGAAGGAAGAAGGUUUUCGGAUUGUAAACUUCUGUCCUUGGGGAAGAAAAAAAUGACGGUACCCGAGGAGGAAGCCCCGGCUAACUACGUGCCAGCAGCCGCAGUA
rnacentral:rRNA from 1 species